rnacentral:rRNA from 1 species
CAUGCAAGUUGAGCGAUUUACUUCGGUAAAGAGCGGCGGACGGGUGAGUAACGCGUGGGUAACCUACCCUGUACACACGGAUAACAUACCGAAAGGUAUGCUAAUACGGGAUAAUAUAUUUGAGAGGCAUCUCUUAAAUAUCAAAGGUGAGCCAGUACAGGAUGGACCCGCGUCUGAUUAGCUAGUUGGUAAGGUAACGGCUUACCAAGGCGACGAUCAGUAGCCGACCUGAGAGGGUGAUCGGCCACAUUGGAACUGAGACACGGUCCAAACUCCUACGGGAGGCAGCAGUGGGGAAUAUUGCACAAUGGGCGAAAGCCUGAUGCAGCAACGCCGCGUGAGUGAUGAAGGCCUUCGGGUCGUAAAACUCUGUCCUCAAGGAAGAUAAUGACGGUACUUGAGGAGGAAGCCCCGGCUAACUACGUGCCAGCCGCCGCGGUAAUU